rnacentral:rRNA from 1 species
GACGAACGCUGGCGGCGUGCCUAACACAUGCAAGUCGAACGGAGUUAACCGCUGAAUUGAAGGUAGCUUGCUACUGAAUUUUCUUGGUUAACUUAGUGGCGGACGGGUGAGUAACGCGUGAGCAACCUGCCUUACAGAGGGGGACAACAUUGGGAAACCGAUGCUAAUACCGCAUAACAUAUAUUUGUGGCAUCACAGAUAUAUCAAAGGAGCAAUCCGCUGUAAGAUGGGCUCGCGUCCGAUUAGAUAGUUGGUGAGGUAACGGCUCACCAAGUCGACGAUCGGUAGCCGGACUGAGAGGUUGAACGGCCACAUUGGGACUGAGACACGGCCCAGACUCCUACGGGAGGCAGCAGUGGGGGAUAUUGCACAAUGGAGGAAACUCUGAUGCAGCAACGCCGCGUGAGGGAAGAAGGUUUUCGGAUUGUAAACCUCUGUUUUUAGUGACGAAACAAAUGACGGUAGCUAAAGAGGAAGCCACGGCUAACUACGUGCCAGCAGCCGCGGUAAGAC